GGAAGGUUGGCCGAGUGGUUAAGGCGCUGCACUCAAGUUGCAGUGGGGUAACCCGCGCGCGUUCGAAUCGCGCACCUUUCA
rnacentral:tRNA from 1 species